UGCGGGAUGGAGCAGUCUGGUAGCUCGUCGGGCUCAUAACCCGAAGGUCGUUGGUUCAAAUCCAGCUCCCGNUC
rnacentral:tRNA from 1 species